AGGAAUUCCUUAGGGUAGGUUCACAAAUCUCAUUUCCCCCAAAAUCCCGUUCUUCAUUCCAGGGAAACCAUAUCUCCUUCAUACCUUUCCCCGUGAAGUUCGACUAGCGAUUUCUCCUCUCCAUUUCCCUACGACCUAGUAGAUAGACUCUACACAAAGAGAAUUUGAAGAAAUGAGCAUGAAUUUUUGCUUGAGUCCUUAAGAUUCUGACGCAAUGGGUCCUUAAGAUUCUGAGAAAAUGGACUCAGGUGACGAUUAUUCGGAAAUCAGAAUCAUGUAUUUCAGUUGCUGAUGCUGAGCAAACGGAUUUAGUUUGAGGACGUGGAAGUUCGGGAACCACGUCUCAGCCAAAAAUACAACCAAUAGGGAUUACCGAGGUAUCUCUAGAGACAGGAUAAUCAUGUAUUUCAAGAGAAGGGCCUCUACAAACAGGACAAGAUGUUCCAAGAGCAAAUGGUUGCUAUCAUGACUAGAAUGCAAUAGGAACAAGGUUCUUAAAUAAUGGGGCUGCCCAAGGAUAAGCCUGAAGGUGUGCAAUGAAAGAUUUUACAUCAAAUGUGUGUAUGCAUAUAAUGUCACAUAUUUAAUAUGUACUAUGCAAUUGGCUUUCUAGUAAUGGACUUGUAAUAUUCGGCUUGGGGAUGCUUUUGCAGUUUGUAAAAUACUACUGCUUUUAAUAGCUAAAUAUCAAGUUUAGAGAA